rnacentral:lncRNA from 1 species
UACCGAUUAUAUUUAAGGUUUCGAUGGCUCGUUUGGAAAAAUGAUAAUCUCUCCGUCUGAUCGCCGACAAAUUUGACAAUUGAACGAAUUGAACGAAGAGUAAAAUGCACCCGCGGUCACUGCACUUGAUUCGUAUUCUCAAGUUAGUCACCGUAUUUUGGAAAUCCAAAAUUACAGUCAUUGAACUUGACGAAAUAUCUAACGUACGGUCACCGAUAGGGUAUUCCUGUGUAUUCGUACGUCUCACAUGACAUCUCAGCGUGCGAUUAUCGUGGUGGUGUCACGGCAGAUGCCACAAGAUGGCUUAACUUGGGGCCGAUGGACGAAAGAGGAACCGGAGGAGGGAGGACGUGAAGAGAAACACGCACAAAUCACACAAGCACACACGGAUCUACUCAGGUUCGGAGCCUUCUUGCAGAGGUAAGACUUCUACUCCUGCUUGGUUGUAUUAGCCGAGAUAGGCAAACUCAACAAUGUCACUCCUUGAGCUGUAUCCUUAAGGAAGAAAAAAAAAAAGGAGAAACCCUAAUUGUCUAAGUGCACCGUCCCUUCCUACAGAGGGGUAAGAUUCUAUUUAUAAGCCGCCCAUGUCACACUGGCAUGUGGGUCGAGUCUAAUGUCAUCUUCCUUGGGCCCCGCCGGACGCGGCUUAGUUCCCUCCCGGUAGCAUCGCAGGGGACAAGACAAUUUUACUUUUCCC